rnacentral:rRNA from 1 species
CGAUUGUAGUCAUAUGCUUGUCUCAAAGAUUAAGCCAUGCAUGUCUAAGUAAAAGCAACUUUUACCGUGAAACUGCGAAUGGCUCAUUAUAUCAGUACUAAUUUAUUUGAUAGUCCCUUACUACUUGGAUAACCGUAGUAAUUCUAGAGCUAAUACAUGCACUACAGUCCCUGACGCUUGCGGAGGGGAUGCAUUUAUUAGAUCGAAGCCAAUGCGGUGCUUGCACCGGUAUUGUGGUGAGUCAUGAUAAGUUUGCGAAUCGCAUGCCUUCUGGGCGGCGAUGUUUCAUUCAAGUUUCUGCCCUAUCAGCCUUGGAUGGUAGGGUAUUGGCCUACCAUGGCUUUAACGGGUAACGGAGAAUUGGGGUUCGAUUCCGGAGAGGGAGCCUGAGAGAUGGCUACCACAUCCAAGGAAGGCAGCAGGCGCGUAAAUUACCCAAUCCUGACUCAGGGAGGUAGUGACAAUAAAUAACAAUGCCGGGCUUUUCAAGUCUGGCAAUUGGAAUGGGAACAAUUUAAAUCCCUUAUCGAGGAUCAAUUGGAGGGCAAGUCUGGUA